AAUAGCCAUGCUAUUCUGGGGGCGGCUGUUAUAAAUUUCCUAUGUUUCGUUAGUAUUUUCGUUUAGGCACCUCUAUGGGCAGCCCAGGGACUUUACUGUUUUACGUUAUUUGUGCUCAGGCCUGCCCACGGGCAGCUAGGGGUCCUGACUGUUAUCCUGAGCGGUACCCUCCGCGAAUGUUGUGCCGAUAAGUUUAAAGUUUUAUAUGUGAUGCGUUCGUGAAGAAGAUACCAUCACGUCAUAUCAUAUCACACCCCCUGUUGUCAUCAUCACCCUUUAAUGAUGCUAAAUAGCCAAUUCGCCAUUGCUGUUGCAUAUGAGGAACAUUAAAAGAACUGAACUGUGAA